GCCAGCAGCCAUAUCACCCUGCAGCUCUCAAUUGGCUACCCACUGAAGUUAAGCAAGGUUGAGCCUGGUCAGUACCUGGAUUGGAGACCUCCUGGUAAGCUAUGGUUGCUGCUGGAA
rnacentral:rRNA from 1 species